UACCCGGCCCGGCCGGCUCCCCCUCUCUCCUUUCCCAUUGGCUCCAGCGUGUUCUGGCCGCACCGCUGGCCGUGGGGACGAUUGCCCUUCCACCAUGAUUCGCUGCUGUGACUGCCACUCAGUGAGUGUCUCCACCCAUCCGGCAGUCUCCUCCAAUAGGAGAGAAGGGUGGGAAGAGGGACGGCCAAUAGAGAGGGAGCUCUCCCCACCCAAUCCCCGGCGGUGGAGGUGCCUGUCAUGGCGGGUGGUGGGGGCUGUGGAGUUCACGGGCGGCCGUGAGGAGUAAUGUGACAUUGCAAACGUUUUAACAUUAUUUGAUGCGGAUGUAAGAAGUUUUUAUUUUCAGAGUAUCUGUGCAGUCAUUUCCUUGAAGGAUCUCUCACAGAUAGUGUGAAGUAUGCCAGUUCCUAAAAUGGCAGUGUGACAAGCUGCAUCACAGCUUUUUGAUUUGGGUAUCGCAGUGCCUCACUGAAAUCUCAGGACAAAUCCUUCACACAAGUCUCAGGCCCCAAGAAGUCAGCAGAUCUGUUCACAUGACUGAGAAAACUGAGUUAAUACCACUCUGCACUGCCUGAAGCCAAUGGUGAAUCAAUAAGGACUUCAGCUGAAAUAAGGUCAGUCCAAGGAAAAAGGAAAAGACAUGUCUAACAGCUUUUAAAAAUGCACCUCAGACAAAACAAGAUGUUCACCAUAACAAUGCAGGGGACCCUUAACAAUUUACCCUGGGCUCUCUGCUUAUGUAGGAGAAGACAUGGAUGAAGCGUGUAAAUUAUACAUUAACAUUCAAAAAAAUGGUUCCUCUUUCUAUUUCAAGGAGGUUCACUGCCCCAUAUCCUAUGAAAAAGAGCCUUGCUAUACAUACACUAGGGGGCAGAGGCUUUCUAUGCAUGGACUUUGUUGUAACUAGCUUAACUGUUCAACAUGCACAUAUUUCCAUUCUGAACUCCAUUACACUACGUGAUAAUCCUUGGAGAUUUUAUUGUCAUCAGAUUCUUGCAAAAUACAUUGGGUGGUCCUAUAGCCCUCUGUUGAGAAUUUAUCUGUGAAAUAUCUCAUGUUGCAAACAUCCUGACAGUAGCAAAGCAAAUGUUUUGAGAGCUGUUGUUUGCCAGAUUACAUCGCACCAUUGGGGCACUUGGGGUCAGCCCUGCUGGUUUCUCUUAGCAUGGAUCAGUGUUUUCAGUGCUGGAGUUGCAAUUGUAGCAACAAUAGCAAGAAAUCAGGGAAUGUAAUGAAAAGACAUUUUUCA